UAAUAAUUUCAUUUAAUUCUAGUUUUGUUUUGCGUAAAUUGUUUAAUAUUUCUUGAUCUUGGUGUGAUACAUAGGCUUUUUCUAAGGAUUUGAUGUUUUUUUCCAGUUCUUGAAUAUUUUUGUUUUCUUCUUUCUUCUUAUGUGAUGAGAAAGAGAUUAUUUUACCUCUCAUCACAGCUUUCCCUGCUUCCCAGAGGACAGAUGCUGAUGUUCCAGGAAUGUCAUUAAAGUCUAAAUAUGAAGUCCAUUCUUUUUUAAAGUAUUUGAUAAACUCUUCAUCUUUGAGCAGCGAUGUAUUAAAUCUCCAGUUUUUACUUGGUGUGGUAUUAUUCUUCUGCAUUAGUGUUAAAGAUACAGGAGCAUGAUCGCUGACAGCUAUAGGAUGAAUCUCAGUGUCUGAAAUGUCACUCAGCAGUGAGCUGCUGACCAAAAAAUAAUCCAGACGAGAGUAGGAGUGAUGAACAUGUGAGAAGAAAGAAUAUUCCUUACUGUUGGGGUGAAGGGAGCGCCAUGCAUCGCAAAGACCAAAGUCGCUCAUAUACUGUUUGAUUAUAUUUGUGGACUGCCAAUUACGCUGAGUUCCUGUUGUAUUGAGCCUAUCCAUUUCUUCAUUUAGUCCCAGGUUGAGGUCUCCCCCAAGAACAAUUGUGCAAUCUAGGUGUUCGGAGAGUGCACUAAAAAAACCGUGGAAGAAUGAGGGGUCAUCAACAUUCGGACCAUAUAUACUUACAAUACCUAGCUUUUGGUUAAGUAUAGAUAGUUUGACUAUUAGGAAUCUGCCCUCUGGAUCUAUAACUGUAUCGAGUACUGUGAAAUUAAUAUUUUUAUGUAUUAGAAUUGCUACUCCUCUUUGUCUAGAAUUAUAACAGGCUGAGAACACAUUAGGAAACUCAGGUGUUUUAAGUUUAUUCAGACCUGUGACAGGCAUGUGGGUUUCUUGUAAUAAAACAACGUCUGCCUGUAGUUUUUUAAGUUGGUUAAGUAUUUUUAACCUUUUUUCCCUAGAGCCAGCUCCAUGCACAUUCCAUGAGACAAACCUUAGCGUGCCCAUAGUUGUGUGUUUGUGGCUAAUGACAUAUGCUGUGUGUCUUGCUUAGACGGGUGAGGAAAAUGGAAACACAUCUUUUUUUUUUUUUUUUUUUUUUUUUUUUAAAUAGAGAGAAGAAAAUGCGCAGCGUGAAGCUCCAUAGGUCUGACUAUGUGUGUGCAUAAUAACUAAAAUGAGCAAAUGUGUGCGUGUGUGUCCUAUAUCUGUGUGCACUGUGUGGCUGUUGUAAAUGUGUUGCCUUUAAACGCAUGUGUGUGCGUGAUCGUGCAGAGUGAGCAUGUAGAAAUAGACAGUGUCCUUUGUGGAUGGAUAGGGAAACAGGUGAUCGACAUAGUGAAAGAAAAGAGAAGCAAGGAAACCAAAGAGCAAGCGUGAAAUCAGGGAACAGUUAUUUACAAAUGACUUUCCCGCAAUGAAGACAUCCCACCACCACCAGCAGCGCCACCAUCGCCACAGUGAACACAGUCCGUGAGAUGAGGUAAAUACGGCAGACGAGUGGUCUCUCUGAGUCUCUGUGUGAUCGGCUGCAGAGAUGGUCACAUGUAUGAGACACAGCUGACUUUAAGUGUAUUUAAAGCAUUUUUAAAAAAUAUAUAAUUUGGUGAUUAAAAUAUUAUCACAUACUACAUUUCUGUUGAAUAGCUAAAAUGGGCUGGCCUUCGUCACCUUGGUUAAUUAUUGAUUAUGUGAUUAUUAACCUGUAUAUAUCACCAAUAUUAACCUCUCAUCUCAUGCUGAGUGUCUAAGAAAGCAUCUUUUUCUCAGCUCACGUGAACUGAAAACAGGACAAUGACCAAUAUUUAUUUAGUGGCUUAUUGAUUUAAAGGUCUGAACGAAUAACUGGGAAACUUUUGUCACUUUACUAUCAUCUGUUACUGCCUUUAUAAAUGAGAUACAAGUCUGAGUCAAGUCAAGUAUACUUGAGUUUAAACUCCUCAGUGUGACAGUGACUGUGACCAGUGUAACCUGUUUUAGUAAUCGAAAUUAGCAAUAUUGUGGAAAUACUUCAGAAUAGUUCAAAAAUGGUACCAAUAAAUAGACAGCAGCUUUUCUUAGUGCAGGAAAAAUAAUCAUUUAUAUCACACUUGUAUGUAUCUUAUUUGAAACGUUGCUGUUUCUCACCUGUGACACAUGGCAGAGAGACAGACAGCCAGCUCUCUGGUGAUUCUCCACCUCCUGAGAUCUUGCACGUGUAAAGUUCUUAAUCAGACUUGUAAACUCUGUGGAUGGUCAUGUUUCCUGUUGAGCUGUUCCCUAUGUGAUGCCCAUAUUUAUAGAAAUCAGCUGCAAUAUUGGAGGAAAUCAUCUUGUUUCUGCAGAGCAGCGUCACAUCUUCUCCCUCCAGGAUCACAGAACCAGCUGAAUGACAUGAGAUGAGCUUUAUUUGCUAUGAAAUUCAUUUAAAACAAUCAUGAAGUAACUUUUGUCUUGAUUCAAACAUACCAGUGACAGAGAUGUUGACACUGUUGCCUUUCCUCCCUCCUUCAAUCUCACACCAGUGCUCUCCACCAUCGUCCAAAUAAAGACUUGUCAUAAUGCACAACGACUUCACACUUUUUUGACUACAGCACUGGACCUCCCUAACUCUCCAAAAGUUGAUUCUGUUCAUCUGGACGUAGCGUUUUGUGGGAGAAACGUUUCAUCACUCAUCGAAGUGACUUCUUCAGUCUGAAGAAGUCACUUGCCUUGUGUCUGCUCCCUCCUGGAAUCAGAAAGACAGACAAAAACAAAACCCAUCUCCCUGCCUGUACUUGAUCAUUUUACUAUUACUCAUUCUAAUAUCUAGCUCAGGACAUUCUGUUUGGACUGAAUGACAAAAAGUUUUGUCAUAACUUACAGCAACAAAGGGGUAAGGUAACAAAAUUAUUUUUUCAAGCAUAAAUUUUGGGUCACCAGUUUGGUUCAACUGCAUAUUUUAAUUUGUUGCUAUUUCUUAAAAAGAAAAUAUAUACAAUUUAAAUAAUCUACAUUUACUUCAUAUCUUUGUUGUCACUUUGUAGAUUAAUCUCACAAAAUACGUUUGACUAAUAAAAUAUUUUACAGUGUUGUGCUUAACUCCCUAAAUUACCUGCCGAGGCUUCACUCAUUCAUUGUUAUGACCCCACUUUGACCUUUGAAAAAAAGGUUUCUAAUUUUGCAUAUGACGGACAUGAGGUGGUUGUGGCAUUAGUAGAAAACUUUAACAGACCUUUAUAGCCUGUUAAACAGAAGUUUACUUUUAGAAGUUAAAUAGAAGUAUUUAAGGAAGCUAAGCCCAGAGGAG
ensembl:lncRNA